GAGACUCUGUGCGCGUGCAUAUCAAUAAGCGGAGGAAAAGAAACUAACUAGGAUUCCCCUAGUAACGGCGAGUGAAGCGGGAAGAGCUCAAAUUUGAGAUCUUAAAGGUUUCCCUUGACGAAUUGUAGUUUAAAGAAGUGUUUUCUGUUGGAGUUUCGGUAAAAGUUCUUUGGAAUAGGACAUCAUAGAGGGUGAGAAUCCCGUAUUUGACCGUUACUUUCCAGCUGUGUGAUACACUUUCAAAGAGUCGGAUUGUUUGGGAAUGCAGUCCAAAAUGGGUGGUAAAUCUCAUCUAAAGCUAAAUAUUGGCGAGAGACCGAUAGCGAACAAGUACCGUGAGGGAAAGAUGAAAAGAACUUUGAAAAGAGAGUUAAACAGUACGUGAAAUUGUCAAAAGGGAAGCGUUUGACACCAGUGUUGUUUAGUUGAAAAUCAAUUCAAUAAUCUUUGAUUUUAAGUAGUAGUUGACUUCAUCAGCUUGCUGCUUUCUUUUCAGGAAUUAUUGAAUGCACUUUUCAGUUAACAAGUCAACAUCAAUUUCUUUUGUUGUAAAAGGGUAAGAGGAAGGUGGCUUACGCUUCGGCGUAAGUGUUUAUAGCCUUUUACCUCUGCAAUCGGAGAGAUUGAGGACAGCAGCGUAGACUCUUCGGGGUUAGAUACACUUGUGCUAAGCUAUAGCCUUAGUAUAGACAACUUGUUGACUAUGCUCAGUCAUGUAGCUUACUCGCUUGAUGCUAUUUUACCUACGCUUAGGAUGUUGAGUCGUAGAGCACGCAG
rnacentral:rRNA from 1 species